AUCCGGCUGACGAGUCUCAAAUAGGACGAAACGCGUGUCCUGGAU
rfam:Schistosoma mansoni strain Puerto Rico chromosome 1, complete genome